ACCUGGUUGAUUCUGCCAGUAGUCAUAUGCUUGUCUCAAAGAUUAAGCCAUGCAUGUCUAAGUAUAAGCAAUCAUACUGUGAAACUGCGAAUGGCUCAUUAAAUCAGUUAUCGUUUAUUUGAUAGUACCUUUACCUGGAUAACCGUGGUAAUUCUAGAGCUAAUACAUGCUAAAAACCCCGACUUCGGAAGGGGUGUAUUUAUUAGAUAAAAAACCAAUGCCCUCUGGGCUCCUUGGUGAUUCAUAAUAACUUAACGAAUCGCAUGGCCUUGCGCCGGCGAUGGUUCAUUCAAAUUUCUGCCCUAUCAAUUUUCGAUGGUAGAGUAGUGGUCUACCAUGAUCUUAACGGGUAACGGGGAAUUAGGGUUCUAUUCCGGAGAAGGAGCCUGAGAAACGGCUACUACAUCCAAGGAAGGCAGCAGGCGCGCAAAUUACCCAAUGCUAAUUCAGCGAGGUAGUGACAAUAAAUACUGAUACGGGGCUCUUUCGGGUCUCGUAAUUGGAAUGAGUACAAUCUAAAUCCCUUAACGAGGAACAAUUGGAGGGCAAGUCUGGUGCCAGCAGCCGCGGUAAUUCCAGCUCCAAUAGCGUAUAUUAAAGUUGUUGCCGUUAAAAAGCUCGUAGUUGAACCUUGGACCUGGCUGAUCUGUCCUCCUAAUCGAGCGCACGGAUUCGGUCGGGUCUUUCCUUCUGGGGAGCCCUAUGCCCUUCACUGGGUGUAGUGGGGAACCAGGACUUUUACCUUGAAAAAAUUAGAGUGUUCAAAGCAGGCCUUUGCUCGAAUACAUUAGCAUGGAAUAAUAGAAUAGGACAUCGGUUCUAUUUUGUUGGUUUCUAGGACCGCUGUAAUGAUUAAUAGGGAUAGUCGGGGGCGUCAGUAUUCAAUUGUCAGAGGUGAAAUUCUUGGAUUUAUUGAAGACUAACUACUGCGAAAGCAUUCGCCAAGGAUGUUUUCAUUAAUCAGUGAACGAAAGUUAGGGGAUCGAAGACGAUCAGAUACCGUCGUAGUCUUAACCAUAAACUAUGCCGACUAGGGAUCGGACGGUGGUUUUUUUAUGCCCCGUUCGGCACCUUACGAGAAAUCAAAGUUUUUGGGCUCGGGGGG